GGCCUGCGCGCCGCGGCCCACUGUGGAAAUACAGGAGACGGUACAACUGGUGCAGUCGCCCUGAAGUUCUGAUAUUAAAAGUCUCUACCUCUGUAUUGUUAACAGGACGCCAGCUGGAUUGCACACACCUGGUUGAGAAAGCCGCUCCACUAGGUAACCCCAGAGCCCCAGUGGGAGACACAACACAUACCCACCAGGACCCCUAAGAGACAAGAGGCCCAUGGAACAGGUAAGCCUCCUCUGAAACAGGGAACAGGAAGCAGUGACUUCACCAGGCCAAGGCUGCCACAAGCACUCUCUUCCCCGAGUAACACAAACAAGGCAGGGCUUUUCCCCCCCGCUUCACCCAGGAAGAACAGGGUAACAAGAGAGCAGCUGUCUGGCUGUGCGCAGCCCCAGUUUCUGUUUCUAACAGCAAGGCAGAUCCCGGAUGGGAAAAGUGAGGAAGGGCCAGAGUGACUGGUUGGGAAGGAGCCAGAAGGAAACACCAGACCCCUCUCACCCCAGCUAGCUGGGCGUCAUCUCUGAAACUCAGACUUAAGCAGGAAUAGACAGCAAAGGUUACAAAGGUACAUACGCACACAUAUAAUUUUAGUUUUCUUAUGAAUUCAGUGGCCUUUUAAAAAACUGUUGGGUUUGCUUUUAAAUUGAAUGCUUCCAACAGGAAAUUAAUUCUGGUACCAAAAAAAAAAAAGUCACGUGAAUCUCUGAAGACAGUGGAAUCCUCUCCUAGUUGUAGUGGAAGAGAACCCUUGAUUCCUCAUUUUUAAGAAAAUCAUAUGUUAAGAACUGCUCUCAACUUCACUAACACCACCGAGCCAUGGGGUGUCAAUGGCAUGGGAGAAUGUAGUGCAAGUGGCACUGUUCCAGAGCUGAGUCCUGGCGUCCAGAGGACUUAGACGCCACACCAUCACCCUUGACACCCAUACUCUCACUCCUUCUACUAUGAUCCAGCCUGAACUCAGUGGACUCAAGGAUGGAGCGAUGGCCUCAGCACAUGGAGGGAAAACCCCUGGAGGAAACCAAGGCUCUCCAGCAGACAAGACAACAGUCAAUCCCCAGAGGUAGCUCUGCCCUGUGACCUGCCAGCAUUGCAAGAGAGACCUGGGUAUGACUCAGUAACCACCCAACAGAGCCCAACCCAAGCUGCUCUUCCACAGAGCCACAGGAUAAACGAGCAACAGUAUGUUAAGCCAGCAAGUAUGCAGCUGACUUGUUCUGCAGCAGAAACAUAUUCAUGCAGCAGAUACACCAUUCCAUGUGACAACUAUGCAUUUGAGUUACCCUGUCUCAAUAACCACUGUGAGACUGUGAGACAUGGGGAUAGGAUCCAACAGUUCUAAGUUAAAAAAAACAAAUCAGGUCAUUGAAAAUUUGGGCAUAGGAAGAUACAGGGAAAAACCAAACAUAUAUAUAAUGAUAAGAUACAUCAAUACAGAUAAUACUUAUAAAAAGGAAAUAGAUUUUUAAAAUGACUUAACAGUCCUGUUAAUAGGCUGUUCCCAAGGCUACAACUACUGAGGUUAUAAAUGCUCUUCAUGUUGACGGAACAGGGUGAUCAUGUGUCUUAUUGGAGUAUUUAUACUUAUUUUCCCCUCAAACCGUUUUGCCUUAGUCCCUUGCUCAGUUUUUCCAUACUGUCUUAAGGCUCUUUAUAACUUCUUCCAGCCCCGGGGGACUCAGGCUGCUGCCACCCGUAAUUAAGAAGGAUCUGCUGGGUACUGGAUUUGGAUGUGAGCUCCUCAGAAACGUCCACUCUUCUGUUGAGGGUUCCUGGACAUCCGCCCGGUCUCAUUUCUUCCUGAGGAGGGUGGAAUCUCAUUACAGGAAGCUGUGGACAUGGAACCCUCAUUACAGUAUGGAGGUCAAAGGCGCUUUCUUGUCCUUUGUCCUUAAAAGACCAUGAGGGGAAAACACGCAUAAAAAAUUAAAUCCUUUUAGUGUGGUUCCUGCAAAAAUAGCAUCAAGUAGACCUGAAACAGGUGAAUGAUUGGGGUUGGCCAGUACUGCCCAGCUCCCAGCAGUCCUCACAGGGAUGCUGCCAUGAAACCUGACUGCAGAAGUCCCUAUGCUUGCUCAAGUCUGCAUGCCAGGAGUCGUGGCAGGGCCAGUCCUUGGUUCUCUUCUUUCCCAGAGUCCCUCCUUCCUGUACAGACAUGAGGCUGCUGUGGAAGAGGGCGUUAGCUGUAACCACCAGGGAACUGAAGAACACAAGCUUCAGUCUGAGAAAGACCCCAUGCAGGCCGCCUCCAUCGUUCGUUUUGAUUAGUCAAAGGCCAAGUUUUCCUUGGCGUGAGGCGUGCUCAUGCAGUCUUCCUUUUAAAAGAGGCAGCCCCGUGCAGCAGGGGGUCCAAUGUGGCCUUGCUUCCAGGGAUUUUAUUUGCAGCACUAUCUUUAUUUUAUGGCAAGUGUUCGCUCUUAAGACACUUAUGAUGAACUUAAAGUGUGGGCUGAAUAAAGGGACAUUGAGAAAGCCCAUUGCGCCAACAUGUGGCAGAGGCAUCCUGGCAGUGUUAUAGCCAUGGCACAGGUUGGGGACAUCCAGGGUGGGGCCUGUGACACACAAGCUGUACUCUGGGAACAAACCUGUCCCUCACCAGCCUGAUGGUUCACUUCCAGGCUCCAGUUUCCUGUCGGUCGCAAUCAAGGCUAGGGGCCAUUGAUGCCGCUCCCCAGCUAAAAGGACAAGGCUGGCAACCUGAGCUCCAUGCCCAGAGCCCACAAGAAAGUGAAAAAGGAAGGAGGAAGCAACUCCACAAAGCUAGUCUCCACCUAUGUGCCAUGGUAUGUGCCCCCUGUAACAUGCACACACACAUAAUAAACAAACAAGCAAAUAAACAAAAUUUAAAAAUCAA